rnacentral:rRNA from 1 species
AUGAACGCUGGCGGCGUGCCUCAUACAUGCAAGCCGAGCGAACGGACGAGAAGCUUGCUUCUCUGAUGUUAGCGGCGGACGGGUGAGUAACACGUGGAUAACCUACCUAUAAGACUGGGAUAACUUCGGGAAACCGGAGCUAAUACCGGAUGAUAUUUUGAACCGCAUGGUUCAAAAGUGAAAGACGGUCUUGCUGUCACUUAUAGAUGGAUCCGCGCUGCAUUAGCUAGUUGGUAAGGUAACGGCUUACCAAGGCAACGAUGCAUAGCCGACCUGAGAGGGUGAUCGGCCACACUGGAACUGAGACACGGUCCAGACUCCUACGGGAGGCAGCAGUAGGGAAUCUUCCGCAAUGGGCGAAAGCCUGACGGAGCAACGCCGCGUGAGUGAUGAAGGUCUUCGGAUCGUAAAACUCUGUUAUUAGGGAAGAACAUAUGUGUAAGUAACUGUGCACAUCUUGACGGUACCUAAUCAGAAAGCCACGGCUAACUACGUG